GCAAUUCAUUUCAGCCUCCCAAUUAAUCGCCUCAUCUCUGCUACUUUCGUUCUCCUCAUUUCAGCCACCCAAAUUGCCUUCAUCUCUACUCUCGUUCUCUGCUCUGAAGUUGCCCUCUCUCUGUCUCUGCAACUGUAAACUAAAAAAUCUACAAGAACCAGAACCCAUAUCGACACAUCAUAUAUUAUUGUUCAAAAUCAAAACCCACCUUCAGUUUCCAAAUCCCGCUGUUCCAGUUCAAUUGGGUUCGCCGUUCGCAAGCUUCAGCGUCUCUCCCGCUGUCUCUCAACUCUCAAGCCGUCUCUUUGCAGCUGCGAACUUGAUCUCCCUUUGCAGGAUUUGAAAGACUAAUUGGUAAAUUUGGGUUGAAUGUGAGUCUUGAACAAGCUGAAGGCCCUUAUACUGAGUGCUAACAACCAGUCCUCUCCCAUUGCUUCACAUCAAGUCUCUCCUCCUGAAGAUUUGGUUGGCAAGUCUUGUGAGCUAUUGCAUUUUCAUGGGACAAAAACCGUUGUCGCCAAGGGUAUGAUUGAUUCAGUGGAUCUAGAUUCUCUCAUAGGUUCUGCUUCACUUGGUUCUGACUGUUGGAGAGUGUGGAUCACUGAUCUCAUUGAUUCAAGUGUGCCUUUAUAUAGGCCUGAAAUUCGUGGCUUUGAUUUGAAAGACGCAUAUGUUACAGGAUUUUCAAUUGCAUGGCCUAUCAAGUACAUCAAAAUUUGUCAAAGUUAGGAUUGCGGGUUGCAGUUCCUUUUUUUGUUGCCGCUAUAUUUUUUGUAUGGUUCGAAGAAGAAGUUGCAAGAAUGAUAUGAAGAAUUUUUGUUUUAUUUUGGUGUAAGUAAAUAUAUAAGGUGUGGAUCAUGUACUUUUUUUAAAUUUGUAUAUGGUUAAUUUUUGUAAAAAACAAUGAUUUGGAAUUGGUUAUAUAUAUAUAUGUAUGAGUUGUAAAUUAUUUUGGUUA